GGAGGUAGUGACAAUAAAUCACAAUGCGGGACUAUCAGUCUUGCAAUUGGAUUGAGAACAAUGUACAACUCUUAUCGAUAAGCCAUUGGAGGGCAAGUCUGGUGCCAGCAGCCGCGGUAAUUCCAGCUCCAAUAGCGUAUAUUAACGUUGUUGCAGUUAAAAAGCUCGUAGUUGAAGUGUGGGUGGUGCUGUCUGAAUGACUUCGGUUAGUCAGAUGAUCACUACCCCCUUCCAGUAUCCAGUAGUGGGUAUUCAGUUACUUACUACUGUGUGUUGGUCCUUUACUGUGAGAAAAUUAGAGUGUUCAAAGCAGGCGUUUGCUUGAAUAGAUUAGCAUGGAAUAAUAAUUGAAGGCUUUCGUGUUCGAUUUGAUUGGUUUGUUCAUGGAAGCAAGGUUAAAAGGAACAGUUGGGGGUAUUCAUAUUCACUAGUUAGAGGUGAAAUUCUCGGAUUUAUGGAAGAUGAACAAGUGCGAAAGCA
rnacentral:rRNA from 1 species